UAUCUAGGUGAAUCAUAAAGCCAUACAAGGUCAAAUCUAUAAGAGCCUUUAGAAUCUUAGAACAUAGAAGGAGCUUGAGCAAUCCUUGCCAGUUCAACUCUGUCAUUUUUCAGAGAAAGAAACCAAAGCCAAAAAUGAGGAAGAUCUUUACCUUAUCGCGCAUCAUUCUGAGAAUCAAGGAGAAAACCAGGAAUCAACUUAAAUUCUACAAACUUCUCUUCUUUCUACUAUGCCAUGAAUCCAUCAGUCUUGCCAUGAACAUAUAAGAACUGGAUUUAGAUGGAAGAUAUGAAGUAGGAAACUACUGAGAGGGAGAUGAACAAUCAGAGGCUCAAGAUCACAGCCUAUGAACAGACAUACUGAGCAGGAGUUUAACUAGAAGAGGAAGGGUCAGCUGUUGCUAACUUCAUGACAGAAAGUCAUCAUUACCUUUGCUGUCCUCUGUUCUUAAUAUCUCAAAAAUCUUACAGUACAGCCCAAUAAGAUUUCAUCAGAGAAACGCUUGUUUUGGGGAAAUAGGAAUGUAGACACAACAGAGAGCCUCCCUAGAGCAGCCUUGCUGGAUCACAGAAUGGAAGAGUUGAAAUAGACCUCAGAGACCAUGUAAUCCAACCCAGGUAAGAAUCUUCUCUAGAAGAGUUAUCUCCAGUUUUUGCUUGAAGACUUCUAGGGAAGGGAAAGCUAUGACCUGACUAAAUAGUUUCUUCCACUUCGGGAUAAAUCUAAUUGUUAGAAUAUUUUUCCUUAGAUAUUAUGUUUACUCUUUCUCUCUCCUUUUUUGUCCCCCACAAACAAAUAGCUAUACAUUCAAAGUUAAGGACCAGUCUAGGAAACAGCUCAGAAGUAGAACUUUUUCAUAUAAUGUCUGGUGUUAUUUAGGAGAGCAAUUUGUAGUUCUGUUUGGGGGUUAGCACCAAAUGUUGAAAUUAAUGUAGGCACCAAAUGUUGGGGUUAAGCCAUGUGAAGUCACAAUGGCUAUUUUCUUUGGCAAAAGGUAGUUUUUUUUUUUUUUAGGAGAUAGACAAAAUGAAGAGAUACAAUAAAUA